GACGAACGCUGGCGGCGUGCUUAACACAUGCAAGUCGAACGGAAAGGCCCUGCUUUUGUGGGGUGCUCGAGUGGCGAACGGGUGAGUAACACGUGAGUAACCUGCCCUUGACUUUGGGAUAACUUCAGGAAACUGGGGCUAAUACCGGAUAGGAGCUCCUGCUGCAUGGUGGGGGUUGGAAAGUUUCGGCGGUUGGGGAUGGACUCGCGGCUUAUCAGCUUGUUGGUGGGGUAGUGGCUUACCAAGGCUUUGACGGGUAGCCGGCCUGAGAGGGUGACCGGGCAGGCUGGGACUGGGGAGCGGCGGAGACUGGUACGGGAGGGAGCAGGGGGGGAUAGAGGACAAUGGGGGAAAGCCUGAUCCAGCAAUGCGGGGUGAGUGGGGAAAGCAGUAGGGUUGUAAAGCUCUUUUACCCGGGAUGAGAAUGACGGUACCGGGGGAAUAAGCUCCGGCUAACUCCGUG
rnacentral:rRNA from 1 species